rnacentral:rRNA from 1 species
GAAUAAACGCUGGUGGCGUGCUUUAUACAUGCAAGUCGAGCGGAGAUCAGCUUGAAGCAGAAGGUGAUUAAUUCACACUUUGUGUGAGUUAUGAACUUUCUGUGACGGUUGAUCUUAGCGGCGAACGGGUGAGUAACGCGUGGAUAAUCUGCCCUUGAGACCGGGAUAACAUCUCGAAAGGGGUGCUAAUACCGGAUAAAAUUACAGAAAGCAAUUUCGGUAACCAAAGUUGGAUUUUCAAAAUUCUUCGCUCAAGGAUGAGUCCGCGUCCUAUUAGCUAGUUGGUGAGGUAAAGGCUCACCAAGGCAAUGAUGGGUAGCCGGCCUGAGAGGGCGUACGGCCACACUGGGACUGAGACACGGCCCAGACUCCUACGGGAGGCAGCAGUAGGGAAUCUUCCGCAAUGGGCGAAAGCCUGACGGAGCGACGCCACGUGGAUGACGAAGGCCUUCGGGUCGUAAAAUCCUGUCAGGGGGGACGAUGGUCGAUCUUCGGAUUGACUGACGGUACCCUCAGAGGAAGCUCCGGCCAACUACGUGCCAGCAGCCGCGGUAAUACGUACGGAGCAAGCGUUGUUCGGAUUUACUGGGCGUAAAGAGUGCGUACGCGGUUAUAUAAGUCAAAGGUGAAAUCUUCACUUUCAAGGUGGAAACUGCCUCUGAUACUGUAUAACUAGAGGGCAAGAGGGGGAAAUGGAACUCUGGGAGUAGCGGUGAAAUGCGUAGAUAUCCAGAGGAACGCCGGUAGCGAAGGCGAUUUCCUAGCUUGCAUCUGACGCUGAGGCACUAAAGCUAGGGUAGCGAUCGGGAUUAGAGACCCCGGUAGUCCUAGCCCUAAACGAUGGGUACUAAGUGUGGGGGGAGCAUUACCCUCCGUGCUGAAGUUAACACGUUAAGUACCCCGCCUGGGGAGUACGGUCGCAAGACUGAAACUCAAAAGAAUUGACGGGGGGCUGAACAAGCAGUGGAGCACGUG